rnacentral:rRNA from 1 species
UAUUGGACAAUGGGCGAAAGCCUGAUCCAGCAAUGCCGCGUGAGUGAUGAAGGCCUUAGGGUUGUAAAGCUCUUUUACCAGGGAUGAUAAUGACAGUACCUGGAGAAUAAGCUCCGGCUAACUCCGUGCCAGCAGCCGCGGUAAUACGGAGGGAGCUAGCGUUGUUCGGAAUUACUGGGCGUAAAGAGUACGUAGGCGGUGAUUCAAGUCAGAGGUGAAAGCCUGGAGCUCAACUCCAGAACUGCCUUUGAAACUAGAUCGCUAGAAUCAUGGAGAGGUUAGUGGAAUUCCGAGUGUAGAGGUGAAAUUCGUAGAUAUUCGGAAGAACACCAGUGGCGAAGGCGACUAACUGGACAUGUAUUGACGCUGAGUACGAAA